rnacentral:rRNA from 1 species
UACGUAGGGUGCGAGCGUUGUCCGGAAUUAUUGGGCGUAAAGGGCUCGUAGGCGGUUUGUCGCGUCGAUCGUGAAAACUUGUGGCUCAACUACAAGCUGGCGGUCGAUACGGGCGGGCUGGAGUUCGGUAGGGGAGACUGGAAUUCCUGGUGUAGCGGUGAAAUGCGCAGAUAUCAGGAGGAACACCGGUGGCGAAGGCGGGUCUCUGGGCCGAUACUGACGCUGAGGAGCGAAAGCGUGGGGAGCGAACAGG